GGGAUAAUAGCAAAGGUAGUCAAUGCGUUGGACUGAAAAUCCAAAGAUCUUGGUGCAACUCCAAGUUAUCCCA
rnacentral:tRNA from 1 species